AUUGAACGCUGGCGGCAGGCCUAACACAUGCAAGUCGAGCGGUAGCACAGAGAGCUUGCUCUCGGGUGACGAGCGGCGGACGGGUGAGUAAUGUCUGGGAAACUGCCUGAUGGAGGGGGAUAACUACUGGAAACGGUAGCUAAUACCGCAUAACGUCGCAAGACCAAAGUGGGGGACCUUCGGGCCUCAUGCCAUCAGAUGUGCCCAGAUGGGAUUAGCUAGUAGGUGGGGUAACGGCUCACCUAGGCGACGAUCCCUAGCUGGUCUGAGAGGAUGACCAGCCACACUGGAACUGAGACACGGUCCAGACUCCUACGGGAGGCAGCAGUGGGGAAUAUUGCACAAUGGGCGCAAGCCUGAUGCAGCCAUGCCGCGUGUGUGAAGAAGGCCUUCGGGUUGUAAAGCACUUUCAGCGGGGAGGAAGGCGUUAAGGUUAAUAACCUUGGCGAUUGACGUUACCCGCAGAAGAAGCACCGGCUAACUCCGUGCCAGCAGCCGCGGUAAUACGGAGGGUGCAAGCGUUAAUCGGAAUUACUGGGCGUAAAGCGCACGCAGGCGGUCUGUCAAGUCGGAUGUGAAAUCCCCGGGCUCAACCUGGGAACUGCAUUCGAAACUGGCAGGCUAGAGUCUUGUAGAGGGGGGUAGAAUUCCAGGUGUAGCGGUGAAAUGCGUAGAGAUCUGGAGGAAUACCGGUGGCGAAGGCGGCCCCCUGGACAAAGACUGACGCUCAGGUGCGAAAGCGUGGGGAGCAAACAGGAUUAGAUACCCUGGUAGUCCACGCCGUAAACGAUGUCGAUUUGGAGGUUGUGCCCUUGAGGCGUGGCUUCCGGAGCUAACGCGUUAAAUCGACCGCCUGGGGAGUACGGCCGCAAGGUUAAAACUCAAAUGAAUUGACGGGGGCCCGCACAAGCGGUGGAGCAUGUGGUUUAAUUCGAUGCAACGCGAAGAACCUUACCUGGUCUUGACAUCCACAGAACUUUCCAGAGAUGGAUUGGUGCCUUCGGGAACUGUGAGACAGGUGCUGCAUGGCUGUCGUCAGCUCGUGUUGUGAAAUGUUGGGUUAAGUCCCGCAACGAGCGCAACCCUUAUCCUUUGUUGCCAGCGGUUAGGCCGGGAACUCAAAGGAGACUGCCAGUGAUAAACUGGAGGAAGGUGGGGAUGACGUCAAGUCAUCAUGGCCCUUACGACCAGGGCUACACACGUGCUACAAUGGCAUAUACAAAGAGAAGCGACCUCGCGAGAGCAAGCGGACCUCAUAAAGUAUGUCGUAGUCCGGAUUGGAGUCUGCAACUCGACUCCAUGAAGUCGGAAUCGCUAGUAAUCGUAGAUCAGAAUGCUACGGUGAAUACGUUCCCGGGCCUUGUACACACCGCCCGUCACACCAUGGGAGUGGGUUGCAAAAGAAGUAGGUAGCUUAACCUUCGGGAGGGCGCUUACCACUUUGUGAUUCAUGACUGGGGUG
rnacentral:rRNA from 1 species